rnacentral:lncRNA from 1 species
GGGAGAAUUAGGGUUAAAGGGGAGGAAGGUUAAGAAAUGAGGGGGGGGUUUUUUUCAGAUCGAGUUUUUUGGAUCGAAGAGCUAGCUUCAAGCUCUUUUCAAGGUCACUAGUUUGAUUUCAUUAGGGUUGUGAGGGGAGAGCAAUUGCUGCUCAAAGUCAGUGUUUAUUUUGGUGUUUCGGAUUUUAUAUAAAACAUUGAUGGUUUGCAUUCUCAAUCGGUUUGUGCAAGUCGUGUAGCAUCUAUGGAUCAAAAUUUGGUAUUGUUUGGAUAGUUGG